UGGGGAAUAUUGCACAAUGGGCGCAAGCCUGAUGCAGCCAUGCCGCGUGUAUGAAGAAGGCCUUCGGGUUGUAAAGUACUUUCAGCGGGGAGGAAGGGAGUAAAGUUAAUACCUUUGCUCAUUGACGUUACCCGCAGAAGAAGCACCGGCUAACUCCGUGCCAGCAGCCGCGGUAAUACGGAGGGUGCAAGCGUUAAUCGGAAUUACUGGGCGUAAAGCGCACGCAGGCGGUUUGUUAAGUCAGAUGUGAAAUCCCCGGGCUCAACCUGGGAACUGCAUAUGAUACUGGCAAGCUUGAGUCUCGUAGAGGGGGGUAGAAUUCCAGGUGUAGCGGUGAAAUGCGUAGAGAUCUGGAGGAAUACCGGUGGCGAAGGCGGCCCCCUGGACGAAGACUGACGCUCAGGUGCGAAAGCGUGGGGAGCAAACA
rnacentral:rRNA from 1 species